rnacentral:lncRNA from 1 species
AUCCAAAGGGAAAACCCACACAGCAGAGCAUACAGCAGUACACCCAUGCUCCAAAUAUCCGCCUGAAAAACAAAAAGACAAGCUUACAAACCUGAAGCACCUCAAAUGGCUUCCUGACAGACUGGAUUGUCUGCCCUUGCCAAAGCCCACAUAUAGCCCAUGAAAAGCUGGCUCUUUCCCUCAGGAAAAAAAACCUUAUCGUCCCAGAGAAAGCAUAUAACCCUCAUUCAAUUGCCCUUCCACUCAGCUUAGAGCACUACUAAAACCAGCAUCUUCACCUUAGCUCAUCACACUGCUGCAGUUCCUUUUACAAGGAUUUCACUGGCAAAAAAUGAAAUCAAAGCUGUUACUGGCUACGAGAGCUGUCAGCACAGUCACCUGUCAGGCUUUGCUGCUGUUCUCUUUAUGUAGAGGCACAACAAGGUUCAGACACCUCACAGUGCAAUUCUCACUUGGACUGUAAAGAAAAAGGAGGCUUGAAAAGCAGUGUGUGGAAAACAAAGAAACAAGAAUUAGAACAACAGUGGGGCCAUGGCACUUGUAGGAAUUGCUCCGCCUUUAACAGCAGAGCGAUUCAAGAAGGAUGAGGGCAUUCCAAACCAGACCAGUUUGGACAGAUUAACAACUGCAAGUAGUGGGUUCCAAAAUUCCAGACAUAUCUCUCAAUUUUUAGUACAUUGUGCAUUACAGUGCAAACAAGUCUUCACAUACAACUUGGAAGCUAAAGACAAGUCUGACAAAACAGACUGCACAAAAAUUUGACAAAUGAUGGAAAAGAUAAUUAACAGAGCAAAUUGCUCUUUCAAAAACAGAGUUUAUGUCUUCUGGUCAUAACACUUCAGAAGCCUCAGAGGCUUCUUCUCCUGUGUAUAUUUUCAUUCAUCUUAGAUUUUGCUUUCAUUCAAUGUGACCUCUCUAGGCAAAUAUUGUCUAAGACCAUGAGUAUCACAUAAAUGUGCAGAUCUCAAGCUGCUCACUUAUCUAGUACCCUUGGCAUGAUGCUUUAUUUUCCUCAGCUGAUCAUCUAGAUUGUGCCUGUUGAUUGUGCAACAACAGCCUGUUGGUCUCGAUUACCUGUGAGAGGCUCUAACUUUGGCCAGGAAAAAUCAUUUGAGGAUAAGUAAUUCUCUUGGAAUCAGUAAGGGAGUCUUCCCAUUCUUUCUUACCAGCACCCAUCUUACAUGUUAAUAAAGGCUUCUGGAAAUCAGUUUGAAGAUCA